rnacentral:rRNA from 1 species
UUCCUACGGGCGGCUGCAGUGGGGAAUAUUGGACAAUGGGGGCAACCCUGAUCCAGCCAUGCCGCGUGAGUGAUGAAGGCCUUCGGGUUGUAAAGCUCUUUUGGCGGGGACGAUGAUGACGGUACCCGCAGAAUAAGCCCCGGCUAACUUCGUGCCAGCAGCCGCGGUAAGACGAAGGGGGCUAGCGUUGUUCGGAAUUACUGGGCGUAAAGCGAGUGUAGGUGGUUGUCAUAGUCAGGUGUGAAAGCCUUGAGCUCAACUCAAGAAAUGCACUUGAUACUGGGCGACUAGAGGACCGGAGAGGAUAGUGGAAUUCCCAGUGUAGUGGUGAAAUACGUAGAGAUUGGGAAGAACACCAGUGGCGAAGGCGGCUAUCUGGACGGUUUCUGACACUAAGACUCGAAAGCGUGGGGAGCAAACAGGAUUAGAUACCCCUGUAGUCG